rnacentral:ncRNA from 1 species
ACGCGGGACACCCCUCCCCAACGAGGGGCGAAUAUCUGUGAGGAUAUCACAU